GGGUUUGGGUUGCUAACUCAAUGGUAGAGUACUCGGCUUUUAAAGUUCCGGGUUCGAGUCCCGGGCAACCCA
rnacentral:tRNA from 2 species